rnacentral:rRNA from 1 species
UACGGAGGAUCCGAGCGUUAUCCGGAUUUAUUGGGUUUAAAGGGUGCGUAGGCGGUAUGGUAAGUCAGCGGUAAAAGCCCGGGGCUCAACCCCCGGCCCGCCGUUGAAACUGGCUGGCUUGAGUUGGGGAAAGGCAGGCGGAAUGCGCGGUGUAGCGGUGAAAUGCAUAGAUAUCGCGCAGAACCCCGAUUGCGAAGGCAGCCUGCCGGCCCCACACUGACGCUGAGGCACGAAAGUGCGGGGAUCAAACAGGG